rnacentral:rRNA from 1 species
GACGAACGCUGGCGGCGUGCCUAAUACAUGCAAGUUGAGCGCUGAAGGUUGGUACUUGUACCAACUGGAUGAGCAGCGAACGGGUGAGUAACGCGUGGGGCAUCUGCCUUUGAGCGGGGGACAACAUUUGGAAACGAAUGCUAAUACCGCAUAAAACCUUUAAACACAAGAUUUAAGUUUGAAAGAUGCAAUUGCAGAACUCAAAGAUGAUCCCGCGUUGUAUUAGCUAGUUGGUGAGGUAAAGGCUCACCAAGGCGAUGAUACAUAGCCGACCUGGGAGGGUGAUCGGCCACAUUGGGACUGGGAAACGGCCCAAACUCCUACGGGAGGCAGCAGUAGGGAAUCUUCGGCAAUGGACGAAAGUCUGACCGAGCAACGCCGCGGGAGGGAAGAAGGUUUUCGGAUCGGAAAACUCUGUUUGUAGAGAAGAAAGUUGGGGAGAGUGGAAAGCUCAUCAAGUGACGGUAACUACCCAGAAAGGGACGGCUAACUACGUG